UAUAUAAAAGUGUAAGAUGCACAAAAAUUUUUGAUAUUUUUAGGAAUAGUUUAAUUCUAUUUUAUAUAA
rnacentral:tRNA from 1 species